GUGGGGAAUUUUGGACAAUGGGCGCAAGCCUGAUCCAGCAAUGCCGCGUGCAGGAAGAAGGCCUUCGGGUUGUAAACUGCUUUUGUACGGAACGAAACGGUCCUGGCUAAUACCUGGGGCUAAUGACGGUACCGUAAGAAUAAGCACCGGCUAACUACGUGCCAGCAGCCGCGGUAAUACGUAGGGUGCGAGCGUUAAUCGGAAUUACGGGGCGUAAAGCGUGCGCAGGCGGUUCUGUAAGACAGGCGUGAAAUCCCCGGGCUCAACCUGGGAAUUGCGCUUGUGACUGCAGUGCUGGAGUGCGGCAGAGGGGGAUGGAAUUCCGCGUGUAGCAGUGAAAUGCGUAGAUAUGCGGAGGAACACCGAUGGCGAAGGCAAUCCCCUGGGCCUGCACUGACGCUCAUGCACGAAAGCGUGGGGAGCAAACAGGAUUAGAUACCCGGGUAGUCC
rnacentral:rRNA from 1 species